CUAGCAAAAAAAGCAAGAUUGAAAGUAGUGUCUUCCUUGACACUUUUACCUAAGUAAAUGGCAGUUGAAUUGAGAAAGUGCUUCAAGAUAGAGAACUAUCAAAGAAACCCAAGGCCCUUGGAUUGGCAGCAUGGAAACUAAUGGUGUCAUCUUAUUUCUUCUGGAACUUGUUGAUGAGGCUGUGCUAUCUGACCAUUGAACCUCAUGGCUACACUUGUCCUGCCCCUCCAGUCCUGAGAUUAUAAGUACAAGCCACCAAGACCAGCCCUUCCACGAUGAAAACUACAGAGAGGACAAGUAACAAACAAGAUUUCCAAGACUUCUGAAAAUCAGAUGUGCUCAUCAAGUACUCCUAUAUAUCAAGCAUCGGUGUGAUAUUCUUAUUGAUAUAAAAACAGAGCUUUCCAGAUCUAAAAAGAAAGGAAGGAAGGAAGGUAGGAAGGAAGGAAGGAAGGAAGGAAGGGAGAAAGGAAGGGAGGAAGAGAGAGAGAGAAAGAGAGAGAGAGAAAGAGAGAGAGAGACAUUAGAGAUUGCUCUUUACAGCCAUUUAUCUUACAAAUGACCAAACUAGGUGCCCAAGUGGUUAAAUAAAUCUUAUACAGAUGCAAAGGUUCGCUAGAGAGAUGGCUCAGUGGUUAAGAGCAGUUGCUGUUCUUGAAGAGGACUGGAUUAGGUCCCCAGUACCCACACUGUGGCUUGAAAUCAUCUGUAACUUCAGUUUGAGGGGUUGUGAUGCCCUCUUUUGGUCACUACAUGUAUUGCACACAUGAGGUACAUGUACAUCAUGCAAGCAAACACACACACACACAUAUAUGAUAAAAAUAAAUAAAUCUUUUAAAACAUAAAAAUAAACAUGCAAAGGUGAACUGAAACUGUGAUGGACAGGUUUUUCAAUUAAUAAAAAAAGGCUAAAAUAAUAUUUACUGUUUCCAUAUUCUAAGCACUGUGCUGAUCACUUCACAUUCAUAAUCUAAUUUAAAAUUUAGAUCCACUGUGUGGUACAAAGUAGAUCUCACAACCCACAGCCAUUCAGAUGACUUGUUGAGUUCACUACUUGUCUCUACUUUCUUCUUUGUACAACAAAGUAGGUGGGUAAUGUGUCAUGCUUAAUAAUAGAGGUAUUAUCGUUCUGUCAGAAAGCAGUUUUGGUUGUCAUCACUGUCAUCUAG
rnacentral:lncRNA from 1 species